UUCUUAGUCCCUUAUUGGACAGUUCUCCCGGAAAAGCAUGCGGCACGCCCACACGGCAGCAAGGAGAGCAGGAGGAGCACGCGCAGACGUCCCUUUCACUUGUGUGCAGGAGAGAGAGAGAGAGCAUACGUUCGCGAAGUUCAGGUGUUUGUUUGUUCACUGCACUUUGGUGAUGUAUGCUAUAUAAACGAUGGAUAUAACGCUGGAUUUGGAGAUCGUUUGAAACUGAUAUAUGGAGCUGUCCCAGUGCUAAAAGAUGCCGGACAUGAACCGCAUGCGUUUGACAGUGGAGCCCAACCCUUGCCUACAGCCACGCUCUGGAAUGCGCUGGAGAAGAGCACAGCCCUCCGUUGCAUCACGAAAUGUGUACAGAAACGUCCCACAGCGAGCACCUAUGGCCAACAACGACGCAUGCUAACUAUCGGAGCGGAACGCCAGAGAGAGUCUGUGUUUCAAACUCCAUGGUCUUCAUUUUGGCAAGUCUUUUGGCAAAGAGGAAGUUUGGAUUGCAGAAGCCCAUCGCAUCCGGGCCCUCGCAGCACUGGGGCCAAUGUCAUCGUGGGCCUAAGCCAGAACAUUAAUUUGUCCCUGCUCACGGGACAACAAAAGAGCAGGAGGUCCUAACCUGAAAGCACAAAGAUUAAUGACUGUGGUCCACAGUGGUGUUACUGAGCGGCCACGGAGCAGACGCCAGACCAGUGGUGUGGGAUUCCCCCCUCAAAGGAUACCAGAUGCUGUGGUCCAAGCCACGGUUUCACUUAAAGAAAUGAUUCAAACCUCUGAUGUUCUACUACAGGACCUAUCAGUGUUGCUAUUCACGAUUAGCAUUGCAUGUUUUUUUCUUUAGAUACAGUAUAUACUAUAUUACAAGUGAGAAUCAGCACAUUUAAAAACAAGAGUCUCCUGACCAAUGAAAGUACAACUUCUGAGAAACGCCACUAUCCUGUAAAGAUGUCGUAAAGGCCUUUUAAAACCAAGAACGUCAUCUAAAAAGUUGUAAAAAUUGUUUUAAAUUGAAUAAUGUAUGAUACAUGAUGAAUAAUAUCUGGGAUCACACUUAAACAAACAUCUUAAAUCAAAAUGCAUUUACUUGAUGAAGAAAAUGACCUAAGAUAUUUAGUCUUGUUUUAAGAAAUAAAAUAUAAGGAUUAAGUAAGUUUAUGUUCAAAACAAGCAAAAAUAUCUGCCAAUGAGGUAACAAAAAGUGAAUUUGGUAAAUAAGAAAAAGGUAAAAGUAAAUUUAAGUUUAUCUUGAUUUAAGAACUUUUUGAUUGUGUUUAGAUUUUAAAGGCCAAAAUAAUUCACAACAGCGAUAUUAUCACGGUAUCUAAUACAAUGUUUUUAUAAAUAAUUCUGUCAAUCAAAUUUAUCUUUAUUUUUCAUUUAUUGUUUCUGUGGCUCAGCUAGCAACGCAAAAGGUAGUGGGUUCAAUUCCCAGAGAACACAUGCAUGGAUAAAAGCGUCUGCUAAAUAAAUGUGUAAAUGUAAAUUCUGCUUUAGCGAUUUCUCGGUAACACUUUACAAUAAGGUGCUAUUUAUUAACAACUAGUUAAUGCAUUAGCUAAAAUGAACUAACAAUAAACAAUAUUAAGACACCAGUUAUUAAUAUUAGUUCAUGUUAAUUUCCGCGUUUACUAAUACAUUAUUAAAAUCAAACGUUGCCACUGGUAACAUUAGUUAAUGCACCACGAACUAACAUGAAUAACUGUAUUGAUAUGAACUAAGAUUAACAAGGAUUAAUAAAUGCUGAAAAACUAAAUUGUUCAUUGUCAUCUAAUGUAAGCUAAUGCAUUUACUAAUGUUAACUAAUAGCACCUUAUUGUUAAGUGUUAACGAUUUCUCUUUUUUCGGCCAUUAAAUAACACUUACUAUAUGAGUGAAAGCAAAGAAAGAGUUUGUAACAUCUGUAAGUUGCAAAUAUUAUUAUAUUUACUACAAGUAGUAUUAGCAUGAUAUUAAUAAUCAUGUUUCUAAAUCAACCUAUAUUGUCAACAUCUGUAUAAUGUGACUGUGGACACUAAUAAAGU